UACGGGGGGGGCAAGCGUUGUUCGGAAUUACUGGGCGUAAAGAGCUCGUAGGCGGUUUGUCGCGUCGACUGUGAAAACUGGGGGCUUAACUCUCAGCUUGCAGUUGAUACGGGCAGACUUGAGUUCGGUAGGGGAGACUGGAAUUCCUGGUGUAGCGGUGAAAUGCGCAGAUAUCAGGAGGAACACCGGUGGCGAAGGCGGGUCUCUGGGCCGAUACUGACGCUGAGGAGCGAAAGCGUGGGGAGCGAACAGG
rnacentral:rRNA from 1 species